rnacentral:rRNA from 1 species
AAUUUGCUGACGAGCGGCGGACGGGUGAGUAAUGCCUGGGAAUAUGCCUUAGUGUGGGGGAUAACUAUUGGAAACGAUAGCUAAUACCGCAUAACGUCUUCGGACCAAAGAGGGGGACCUUCGGGCCUCUCGCGCUAAGAUUAGCCCAGGUGGGAUUAGCUAGUUGGUGAGGUAAAGGCUCACCAAGGCAACGAUCCCUAGCUGGUCUGAGAGGAUGAUCAGCCACACUGGAACUGAGACACGGUCCAGACUCCUACGGGAGGCAGCAGUGGGGAAUAUUGCACAAUGGGGGAAACCCUGAUGCAGCCAUGCCGCGUGUAUGAAGAAGGCCUUCGGGUUGUAAAGUACUUUCAGUCGUGAGGAAGGGUGUGUAGUUAAUAGCUGCAUGCCUUGACGUUAGCGACAGAAGAAGCACCGGCUAACUCCGUGCCAGCAGCCGCGGUAAUACGGAGGGUGCGAGCGUUAAUCGGAAUUACUGGGCGUAAAGCGCAUGCAGGCGGUCUGUUAAGCAAGAUGUGAAAGCCCGGGGCUCAACCUCGGAACCGCAUUUUGAACUGGCAGACUAGAGUCUUGUAGAGGGGGGUAGAAUUUCAGGUGUAGCGGUGAAAU